GGGUCGCUAGUUUAGCGGUUAUAACGCGUUCCUGAUAAGAACGAGGCGCCAGGUUCGACUCCUGGGCGACCCACCA
rnacentral:tRNA from 1 species